CCAGAGAUUUAGCAGAGAUGCUUUAGUGCCUUCGGGAACUCUGAGACAGGUGCUGCAUGGCUGUCGUCAGCUCGUGUUGUGAAAUGUUGGGUUAAGUCCCGCAACGAGCGCAACCCUUUAUCCUUUGUUGCCAGCACGUAAUGGUGGGAACUCAAAGGAGACUGCCGGUGAUAAACCGGAGGAAGGUGGGGAUGACGUCAAGUCAUCAUGGCCCUUACGAGUAGGGCUACACACGUGCUACAAUGGCGCAUACAAAGAGAAGCGACCUCGCGAGAGCAAGCGGACCUCAUAAAGUGCGUCGUAGUCCGGAUUGGAGUCUGCAACUCGACUCCAUGAAGUCGGAAUCGCUAGUAAUCGUAAAUCAGAAUGUUGCGGUGAAUACGUUCCCGGGCCUUGUACACACCGCCCGUCACACCAUGGGAGUGGGUUGCAAAAGAAGUAGAUAGCUUAACCUUCGGGAGGGCGUUUACCACUUUGUGAUUCAUGACUGGGGUGAAGUCGUAACAAGGUAGGCGUAGUGCU
rnacentral:rRNA from 1 species